CAGUAGCCGCGGUAAAACGAAGGGGGCUAGCGUUGCUCGGAAUGACUGGGCGUAAAGGGCGCGUAGGCGGUUUAUACAGUCAGAUGUGAAAUUCCUGGGCUCAACCUGGGGACUGCAUUUGGUACGUAUGGACUUGAGUGGAGAAGAGGGUCGUGGAAUUUCCAGUGUAGAGGUGAAAUUCGUAGAUAUUGGAAAGAACACCGGUGGCGAAGGCGGCGACCUGGUCUUUAACUGACGCUGAGGCGCGAAAGCGUGGGGAGCAAACAGGAUUAGAUACCCCCGUAGUCCCUGUCUCUUAUAU
rnacentral:rRNA from 1 species